rnacentral:rRNA from 1 species
GCAGUCGAACGGUCCUUCCCGCAAGGGAAGGAUAGUGGCGAACGGGUGAGUAACGCGUAAGUAACCUGUCCCCAAGUAGGGAAUAACUCUGAGAAAUUAGAGCUAAUACCAUAUGUGGUUCUUCACUACAAGGUGAAGGACUAAAGCUUUAGGGCGCUUAGGGAGGGGCUUGCGUCCGAUUAGCUAGUUGGUAGGGUAAUGGUCUACCAAGGCGAUGAUCGGUAGCUGGUUUGAGAGGACAUUCAGCCACACUGGGAUUGAGAUACGGCCCAGACUCCUACGGGAGGCAGCAGCAAGGAAUUUUGUGCAAUGGGCGAAAGCCUGACACAGCGACGCCGUGUGGGGGAUGAAGGCCUUCGGGUUGUAAACCCCUUUUCUCAGGGAAGAAUAAUGACGGUACCUGAGGAAUAAGUCGUGGCUAACUACGUGCCAGCAGCCGCGGUAAUACGUAGGCGGCAAGCGUUAUCCGGAUUUAUUGGGCGUAAAGAGGGCGUAGGCGGUUUUUCAAGUCGAUUGUAAAAUCUCCCGGCUUAACUGGGAGGGGCCAGUCGAUACUGUUAGACUAGAGGGCAGCAGGGGGAGGUGGAAUUCCCGGUGUAGUGGUGAAAUGUGUAGAUAUCGGGAGGAACACCAGUGGCGAAGGCGGCCUCCUAGGCUGUUUCUAACGCUGAGGCCCGAAAGCGUGGGGAGCAAACAGGAUCAGAUACCCUGGUAGUCCACGCUGUAAUCGAUGGACACUAGGUAUAGGGAGUAUCGACCCUCUCUGUGCCGAAGCUAACGCAUUAAGUGUCCCGCCUGGGGAGUACGGCCGCAA